UACGUAGGCAGCGAGCGUUGUUCGGAGUUACUGGGCGUAAAGGGUGUGUAGGCGGUUGUUUAAGUUUGGUGUGAAAUCUCCCGGCUCAACUGGGAGGGUGCGCCGAAUACUGAAUGACUAGAGUGCGGGAGAGGAAAGUGGAAUUCCUGGUGUAGCGGUGAAAUGCGUAGAUAUCCGGAGGAACACCGGUGGCGAAGGCGGCUUCCUGGACCGACACUGACGCUGAGGCGCGAAAGCUAGGGGAGCAAACGGG
rnacentral:rRNA from 1 species